UACAGAAUAUGCGAAAACGGGCGGGGGGAGGGGGGGAGCUCUAAGUUGUUUUUACAGCAAUUCAUAAAAUAAAAUUAAAAUAAAAAGUCUAUGCCCAAGGUUCAUGUUUGUUUUUUCUUCCUGUGUCUUUAAUUUUUAUCUUAAAUCUAACAAAUGACUAAAUGGGCUUGUCCAGAGGCAAUGACAAGGUGGGGGGUGAGAAGGAAGUGCAGAAAAGCUGGCAAGGAAUCAGCAAAAGGGAAAGCAAAAAGGAAAGUCAUAAUAAGCAAGCUGAGCUCAACACAUUUAAAGCAACAAAGCUGCAUUUAUGUCAAUGUGUAUAUCAAGAAACAAUGAAAUCAAAGUUGCAGGCAAAGCUUGUUUGCUAAAGUAUAGAAGCUAAUCUACUGUUAGCUAAGAUGCAACGGAUCUGACAUGCUCCCUGAACUCUAGCAGAAUACUUCAUUUUAUUUUUUUUAGUUCUAGUUUGUUCUAAAAAACAUUAAUUGAACACCUGCUAUUCAGACACAGCCAGAAGCUGGAGAUCUCAUGUAAGCUGUGGAGGAACUCCAGUAUAACUGGGGAGAUGGAGAAGUAAGCAGAUAUUUUUGCUACAAUAAAGUAGGAUGCUGUAAGAUAAAAAUUAUUACAAAAAUGAUUGCUAAUAAAAAAAAAAAAAAGCUGGCCAAAAUCCACUUUAAAAGAUGUCAACGGCCAGAUGCAGAAUAAGCUAGGAUUCUAGAAGCAGCUUAACAUAGUUCUGAAUCCUAAAUCUGCUCUGCUAUGACUGAGAUAAUUGUUUUAUUUGUAAAAGACUCAUUAUUUAUAAAAUACUGGCACUAAAAAUGUACAUCAUGUAAUUCUUUUGAAGCUUAAACACUAUUAAAUACUCAUUAACAUUAGUUAAUGCACUUCCUUCUCACCCCCACCUUGUCAAUGUCUUUAAUUAGUUACUGAACUAAUACGAUAUUCCUAUGUUUAUGUAACACUGUGGCAAAUAAUUAGAUUCAAGCAGCACUUCAUAGAAUGCUGUGCUUUUAUAUGUUAUGAUCUUAUGAAAUGUGUGUUUAGUUUUUCAAAACAUCCAGAUAUUUGCCCUUCACAGGAAAAAUUAUUGCUUGUCUUUUUCUCUUUUUAUUUAGAUGCUUUGACAUCAUAUAGACUUUCAUGUCUUUGUUGUCACAAUAUGAUUAGAACUUUCUAAGUUGCUGUCUAUGGUGUUGAGUUAUUUAUGCCCACGUUGGAGGUGACAUCACACAUUUAGUAACUGCUUCAGAGUUUUUAUGAGUUUUGGGUCAUAUGAAAUUUGAUGCCAGAGCCUUUAUAGCAGAUGUGUUCAAUAAGACAAGGCUUUACGAGAAAUUCUCAACCAUAUUUUAGUCAUCUUCCAGCAAUGUGCUUCUUCCUGAUACAGUUAAUUGCUGGCUUCUCCAGCCUCUAAGGUCAGAAUACCUCUGAAAGUCAAGGUCAUCUUUCCUCUCCUCAGAACACUGCAACCUCCUGCUGAUUCCAAAAGGAAUUUGGCAUCACAGAGUUUGGUCAAGAUCUCAUGCUUGCUUGUCAUCUCCUCUCAGACUCUUUGGACUUGUCUUUGCUUCUCCUAUCUAGUAGAGUCGCCCUUGGCCCCAGCUGGCCUAGUCCUGAGGUCUUCCCCUAACACUCCCACCAUCCGCAGGCCAGCACCUUUCGGCUCACUUUCUUUUCUAACCAAGCUUUCUUCUUGCAUCCAUCUUUGUUUCCAAAAGUUUAUCAUUUAGUGUCUUUCUUGUGUUUUGUGAGAAAUAUACCCAUUUUUUUUUUUUAUACCCAUACCUCCCAAAUUUGUUAACUUGAUUCCAUUCUCCUAAACUUCUUAAAGACUCAUUUCAUUUGAGAAAAACUUUGGUAGUCAUCCUUGUACCUUUGGUAUGAUUCAUCAUUGGAAUCUCCCUGGUUUUCCUUGCUGAAGUGUGUGAGUCUAAUGUAAACCCACUAGGACUUUUCAUAGCUUCUGAAUUAUGAAACUCAUAAACUUUGAGGCUUACAAAGAUGUUGGGGCUCACUUCCUCAUUUCAAUCAUUGUGGAACUAACCCAGUAAAGAACCAAAAUUAGGGUGGCUGCCAUUAGAAUGCAUUCUAAACAAAAUUGUGAAUCAUCCUGACUUUGUCCUUGAGCUGCCUUAUUCAUCACUUUUCCCCUCGUAUUUCCCUCUCUCAGAUCAACAGGCCCUCCAAACAAGUUUCCCCAUUUUAUCCUUUUUUCCCCUCUAUCGCCCCCCCCACCCCAUUCCUCAAUAUUUCAGAUCCUCCUAACACUUUUAUUAAUCUAUAGGGCCUCUUCCUGAAGGUCUCACUAAAAUACUAAUAGUGGUUUAGUGUUUUUUUUUUUUUUCUGCCAAGCAUACUUUUAAAAAACCAAACACACACCCUUUUAAAUGGGUGAUGAAGUGAGGGACCACUGCUCUCCUUUGAAGAAUGGAGAUUUUGUGCACAUGAGCAUCUAGAUGGGGAGUGAGUGAGAGGUAAGGCUUAGUGCUUUCCUGUACUCAUUGAAUAUCCAACCCUAAUCCCUUAUAUCUUUUACUGGUUCUAUUGUCUAAAGUGCCAUAUAUUUUAUUUGUGCUUCCAAUAGCACUCUUGAUCUAGGCACUCAAGUAACCACCAUGACUAAGCAGGAGAGCCACCAUCUGUGUACAGCUCUGACUCUUCCCCUAGCACUCCCUAAUGAUCUAUUUGAGAGAGAGCUCUUGACCCUGCAUUGCCUAACUACCCAGAGGAAGAAUGUUCUCUCCCCUUCACAUGACCUUGUUCUCUUCCAGAGAAACAGCUCUGGGAAAUUAGGUACAAUCGAGAGAGUAUGACAUUACUGAGGAGACAUUAUUUAGUUGCUCCCUCAAAGCCCAAUGGGCAGUGAUCCAGAAACAUUUGGGAAUAGAGAAGUAACUCAUUAGAAGCCAGUCAAUGAGUGGCCUAAACUCUUUUACUUUGUGAUUUCAUAUGAGUGCUUAGUUCAGUUGUCUUAACAUCAGCCUUGAUGUUAACAGGAACUUUAGUAUUUUAACAAGAUUGUUUAAAGACUCAAAACUUUUCUGGAGCUUUAAUAGAUGAAUUCUGUUAUGUCAGGCAAAGUGUAAGAGCAGAGUAUCAAAGCAGAGUGCACAUACCCUGUGAUCUAUUGAGGUAUGGGGGAAAUAAUAAAAAUAAAUAAAUGUAUCUUUAAAUCUUACUAAGUUUUAUUUUUGUGAAUGCUUUAUACAGUUGUUGGCAUAGCUAUAUAAUUCAUAAAUAAAAACAGAUAUGUUGGAGUAUUUAUAACUGUUAAAGUUGUGGGAUCAGGUAAGUUUAGAUUUGGCUAUAAUACCCACCCCUUCCAAUCCAUACAUUACAAUAAAGGCAGGUUCUAUAAACCCAAACCCAGUGCCAUCGAGUUGAUUGCAAUUCACAGUAACCCUAUAGGACAGAGUAGAACUCCCCGAUAGGGUUUCCAAGGCUAUGAUCUUUACGGAAGCAGACUGCCAUAUCUUUCUUCCAUGGAGUGGCUGGUGGGUUUGAACUGCCAGCCUUUUGGUUAGCAGCCAAGUGCUUUAACCACUGCACCAAGCAUGAGAUAUUCUCUCUCACAUAAGCAGCACACCCAAGAAACUGAAGAGAAAGUCCUGUCUCACUCAAAGUCUGAUGUUUUUUCUGAAUUCCAGCCAUCUUCAUAAGUGGGAGCUGGGUGCAGCUACUCAGGGAAUAUAAUAUUGGUUUAGAUAAAAAAAAAAAAAAAAAAAUUUUUUUUUUUUUUUUUUAGAUAAAGUUGGUCGUGGCUCUAGAAGGAGUACAGAUAUUUUUUAGGCCAGGUCACUUGCCUUUUUGCAUAAUCCUUUUAAUAUUGUGACAUUCAGACAUCCUACUGGACAGAGCUACAAAUGAAUCAGAUGUAGGUGAUUAGAGGAAGCCAAAACCAAAACCAAACCCAUUGCCAUCGAGUGAAUUCCGACUCAUAGCGACCCUAUAGGACAGAACAUAACUGCCCCACAGGGUUUCUAAGGAGCUCCUGGUGGAUUUGAAUUGCUGACCUUUUGGUUAGCAGCCGUACCACUUAAUGACUACGGCACCUGGGUUUCCUAGAGGACCCCAGAUAGAUGGAAAUCAGAGUGAAGAACGUGGUUGUUCAUGAGGCUUACCUGUGGUCUGUCCUCCGUAGGACAGGAAAAUUGGACUCUGUCUUCCUUUGAAUACCCUAAGAGAGGCUCCCCUGUGAAAGAUGAGUUUUUCCCCUUGAAUUGUCACGGAAGGUGCUAUGGGCAUAUUUCCUGCCUCUCUGUUUCUUUAGAAGUUUGGAAGCCAAGGGGCUCAAGAUGGAGGGAAGGGUAGAAACAGAAGCUUUUGCCUCCUGAUGGAUCAGCUUGUAGAGAAAAGAGCACACUCCAUCGUUGAAGGCCUGCAUGUCUGUUUUAAAUCCCAGCAGGACUUUGUCAUUAUGUAACACCAAGGGUACUUUUCUGUACAGUCUUGGUGGCCCCAGCCCCUGGAGCUGUGCUCUGCAUGGCCUGCAUGGCUGAGAAUGUCUGCCUAAGUCUCAGUUUUUUUUAUUACUUGGUGUGUACUCUUGGAUGAGUUGCUUAUUCUCUCUUCUAAUAAAAGGUACUGGGUUAAUAAAAUCAUAUAAUAAUUUCUACCCCCCUCCGUCAUGUUGGGUAUAUUAUCUACCAUAUAAUUGAUAUUUAGUAGCAAUCUCUUUUUUAUUCUUUCUUCCUUACUUUUGUCAGUUUAGUCUUGUCUGCAGUGUCCCGUGGUUAUCUUCACAUUCGAAUCUUGCCCUUUUGGACAUCCCUGAUCAGGAGACUUCUCUGAAUCCACUUCCAUGUAAAUCCUACCCACUUAUAGUUCUUUUUCUUCUUCACCAGUAUUUUACUUAGAAUUGUUCCUGAAAUACUAGUUCUGCAGGAUUAAUGGCUGUACCAUGAAAUAUAAGAGGGGGACAUGGUUCUCAGGUCUUCAGUAAACAUGGAAUACGUUAGGUCUGACAAAGGUGCACAGGUUUCUAGCUCAACACACCUAUGACUCUCCAACAUGGGGGGCACUGAUAGGGAUCAUACACUGCAGGGUUUUUCAAACUGUCUAAAUUGGGACAUAAAAUCUUCUUUUUGCAGGAUAGCUGCUUACAAGCCUAUUAUUCUACACUUAUCCUUGUAGCAUUAGAAAGAGGCUUUCAUCCUCAGUUCUUCACGUCCAAACAACUGCUGUUUCCUCACAUUGGUCUAAGACUGAGUUGACUCUGUUUUCAUUUUUUGUGGAUUUUUUUACUUUUGUGUGUGGCCUUUCUAGCCACGGUCUCGUAACUCCCACCCAGGUGACUGUGUGAUAGGGUAAUUGUGGCCUUCCAAGGGGAUUGGUCAGUUUUGCUCAGCCCACGGAGUGAGAAAGGUGAGUGCCUCUGGGCAGAGACUGAGGGCCAAGGACAGGUCUAUGCCUGACCCAUGGAUUUGGGACUUCCCUGCCUCCACAACUGUGUGAGCCAUUUCCUUUAUAUGGUUCAUGAUAGGGAACCCAAAGUCAGGAAGGAGAAUAUUGAAGUGAGAGGGAGUAGUUGAUGUUAUGAUGAUGGAGUGGUAUAGCAGCUUAGAAAUGUUAGACGUUUGGGACCUCUUUAAACUCCGCUUCAUAGGAACCAGCUUUGUGCUGAUUUUUAUGAAAUAAAGUAUUCGUUUGUAUUUCAUUACUCUCAACUAACCUCUCUUUCUCUUUCUGGUUGCUUAAAUCAAAAGCCACCCACGUAAGACCAUUUCUAACAUCCCCUUCUAGAACUGGGAAAAUUUCAAAUAUUCUACCUUCUACGUGACCAGAAUAACAUAGUUCUACUUUCACUACCUUUAGGACAAAAAGAAAAUAGAGAACAAUACUCAGAGUAGUUGAGAUCAGUUUUCUUCUCUCUCUCUAUAAAUUCCAGGGUUUUGCAUAUGCAGUGUGUUAUUUUAAUUAAAUGUUUUGUAUCUUUUAUGCUUUUGAUUAUAAAAUAGCUCCUUGUUCAAACUAAACUUUUAAAGAUAUCCAAGAGCAUACAGAAGAACACAAUAUAAAAAAUAUUUGUAGUACAUAUGCCGUAGUUCUUUAGCAACAGAGAAGAAAUUAUGGCACAAUAUUUGCUGAGAACACAAAGCAAAGUGUGUUUGUGGUGUCUAAUUCUCACAUAUUUCUAUUCUAGAAAAUGAAUGCUGACGUUAAGGAAUUUAACCCUUUCUUUGUAAUGUUUGCUGAUACUUCCAUAUAAGGAAAGUCUCUUAUACAGGCAUUAAUUAACGAGCUAGUUGCCUGUUAGGACAAGCCCAGAGGUGACAUGAUUUGCAUUUGCUGAUCAAGGACUCUUUGGGGCUAUAAAGACAGAACCAAGAAGUGACUCAGAAGCCAGGAGGCCGUUCUGCUGUGGACUCGGCCAUGCACCAUAGCAGCGUUGUGACUCCACAGCCCUGCAGCUGACUUAGCUUUCGGUUUUCACUGCCUCAUUGUGUCAUGAGUGGAACUGUUGGCAAAACAGAGUUCACACCCCAACUUUUCAGCCUUUCCCCCUUUAAUUCUUGCUCUACCAGAAGCCUAGUGUAAUGAUUCAUAUGCCCUACUUCCUGGCAAAUAAUCAUUUUCCCACAGCGAGUGAUGAUUUAUGUUGGGAGAGGGGUAAAGAAUGUUAAUUUGCUUUUUUUCUAUUCAGCCUUUCUGCUGACAGAGGGUUGGGUAGAGGUACUUAGUCUCCAUUUGCAAGGCCAUCUUAAAAGUGUAUAGAAUUCUUUUUUUUUUUUAAUUUUAUUUUAACGUUCUUAAUGUGUGCCCUUGAAUUGAUUUUAGACUGCUUCUGUAAAGAUUACAGCCUUGGAAACCCUAUGGGGCAGUUCUAUUCUCUUCUAUAGAUUCUCUAGGAGUCAGAAUUGACUCAAGGGCAACAGAUUACAAUGAGCUCUAACGAUGAGAUAAUGUAUGUAAAGCUCCUGGUACAUAGUAGGCCUUUAACGAAUGGAAGCUCUAAUUAUUAUUUAAGACUAACUGCCCCUUCUUCUCUGGUAUGCCCUUUCAAAGCAACACACGUUAUACUUUGUACUAUCUUGGAGUUCUACUUUGUCAGACUCAACAUGGUUCAAGUUUUCUCAAGCCACUGCUGAUUUUUUUUUUUUUUUCCCCUUUGUGAUUUCCAUCUGACUUGUUUCAUUUCCCUAAAACUCUGUCACAAGCCAGGAGAUUGUCGCAGAACAUGAUCUGAAACCUCACUGGCAAGGGAAAGUCCCCUCCAAAAGAGGUUUUUUUUUUUUUUUUCCUCUCGAGUUUUACAGUUCUCUUUCAAAUAGGCAGGAAGCCCCUUAGCCUGGUGACUAAUUGGACAGAAGUGAAGGACUUACCCUGAAUCUCCUAUGGACAGUUUGAGGACAGUGGAGGGGUGGGGGUGGGGGGGCGUGAUGGUCUGGUUGCUUUUCCUUCUGGUGGCUCCACUGCCACAGCUUCUGCUCCUCCACGUUCUUUCAGCUGCCCUCUGAAGGACCUUUGUUGUUGCCUACCCUCCCUUUUGGUCUCUCUGCGAUGCGCCAUCUUUCCCCUCUCACUCAGGCCAACUCUCGUGAAACCACCAAUGGAAAUUUAGAGGCUUUUGUGGUUCUUGGGGGAGAAUUGGGGCUCUGCAUUUUCUGUGUCCUCACUUCCUUUACAGCUGGUGAGGGAUUUCCUAAGCAGCCUUUCCUCUGCCUGGUAGUCUCGGCUAACUCCACCUCCCCUGUGACGGAGACGUGCCACUUAGGAGCCUCUGUGUUCUUUACGUUUAAACACAGACUCAACUUAUGUUCAGUCUUGUAAUGGGGAAAAAAAAAAAAAAAAAUCGGCAAUCACUUUGGUCACAAUUUUCUAUAAUUUAAAUUCUGUGUACAUAUUACUGAUAAAAUAUAGUCCAUUUGGGCUCAUUCCUUUAACCCAAAUGUGUGUGCGUUUAUAUUCUUAUUUUUUUGUUUUUUUGAGAGUGCUACUUUGUAGAUAUUUUGCCACCAGAUAACUUUCCCUGUUGAGGAUGUGUAGCAACGCGAGUGAACUAUCUGCAGUACUUUUUUUUAAAAACACGGAUUUGUGUUAAGUGCUUUGAAAAUACUUUAAAAUAAUAGCAAACAUCAUAAAAGGAAUUUUUCAAAAAGAGAAAAUACGGCCCCAAUCCCACUCUUUUAUUGCAAUGACUAAUUUCACUUUCACAUAUUUCCUUUCAUUUUUUAUUCAUGUGGCAUUCAUGCGUUAUGUUUUCAUCACAGUAAGCUUUAUAGUUGAUGCUAUAAAAAUGAAACAAGAUGUUGCCUAAUAUUUAUUGAACUGGCCCCUCCCACUUUUCUGAUUCUGUGUGAACUGUCCUCCCUCAACUGUACUGGAAAGGUAACUUGAAGGCAGCAUCCUCUUUCCUCUGGGGUUUGGUCCCUGAUGAGGCCCCUGGAUCAAGUUUCCCUUUUGGUGGCUUCUCUUCCUUUUAAGAAAGAUAAAGAAGGGCUCCAGCAUGCCCAACUUUGUUUACUCCAUAAGCACAUAUUGACUGCCUACUAUGUAUUGACUGCUGCUCUGUUGACCGGGACCAUAGUCUGUACACUUAUUUUAACACGUUGAAGAUAGGAGGAAAAAGCACAGAGAAAACUUUUAUGGCUUUGUGAUUCUGUGACUCAGGGCCAGCCAGAAGAAGAAGUCUCUACCAUUGUGUUCCACAACAUGGAACGAGGUAAAUGUGAAGAUGAGGAAAAUGAGGGAGCAUUGUAAGCGAUAGCCUGGUUGUGGGGUUGAGUUUGGAUUUGGGAAUAGGUAAAGUAAUGAGCCCCAAGAGUGAGAGAGCUAAACUGAAUCUAUAACUGUGGGUUGGACUGUUUAGUAGCUAGGGGCAAUAAGCUAGUGGUUUUGUUUGUUUAUUUGUUUGAAGGGUUUUAAACUGAACUAGCCAGGCUGAUUUUCAUCGCAAGGAGAGAAAGACAACACUAACAGAUUUACGCAAAAACUGAAAUUUAUUGCUUUUGUAUAGCCACAGCAAUGGACUCAAAUAUAAUAACAUUCAUGAAGCUGGCACAGGAUGAGGCAAUGUUUUGUUCUUUUAUACAUUAAGAUCACCAUGAGUCAGAGCCAGCUUGAUGCCAACUAACAACAGCAAUAUCCUCUUAAAAUAAUACUUGAAUCUUUCAUGUUUUUAGCUUUCACCCCAGAACCUGUACUCAAACUAAAACUGUUUGUUGUAUUGAGAUUUAUUUUCAAUUGGGUUAUUGGAUUCACUCGUUGUAUACUUAGGGGCCCAUAUAUAAUUGCUCAAAUGAUUUUAUACUCACCAUUGGACUAUUUCAGAAUUGUCAGUGUUGCACUUCUGGGAGAAUGAUAAAAACUAUAGAUCACUUGCUAGAGAGCCAGCAAAUUGAACAGCCCAAGAAUGAGAAAGUCCUCAAUCUUGCAGCUUUUAAGUGCUGGGUCAGCAGAGGAAAGUGAUUGAAACAAUUAUCAUGGAGUCACAGGGCUUGGCAGACUUGGGAGAUUACAUGUUUAAAGAGGGCUUUUUUUCCUCUCUUUUCUGACUCAGGGACCAUGUGAAUUGAUGAAUAUGAAGACACUAAGAGAACAAAAAUAGAAGGAGUUGUUCUGCUCAGACCUCAAACUGAGAAGAAUGAAAUAAUCAACUCUACCUUUCAGCAAAUUGUCUCUUAUAGGAGGAAUAAGACAGCGCAUAAGUAACUUUUAGCAAGAAGAUGUAUGUUUAUAUUCUGUUUAGGUACUGGUGAUUUUGAACACAUGCAUAUGUGUCAAUUGCUGACAUAUGUACAUGUAUUUCUAUAAAUAGCCAUAGUUUAGAAGCAUUUUUUUCGUAUUUCUUAAAAGACUUAACACUGUCAGUAUGACAAGAUUUUAAUUUCCUUUUCCUACUAAUUUUGAUCAACCUGACUCAAACUAUUUUCUUUUUUCCUAUUCCUGCUUUUGUGAGGGCUAUUACUUUUCUCAGAGCCCCCUGGUGGCUCAGUGGUUAAGAGCUUGGCUGUUAACCAAAAGGUUGGCAGUUUGAAUCCACCAGCCGCUCCUUGGAAACUUUGUGGGGCAGUUCUACUCUGUCCUACAGGGUCACUAUAAGUCAGAAUCAACUUGAUGGUAACAGGUAUUACCUUUUUCUUUCUGUAUAUUUGUCUAUGUAUCUUUAUUAACUACUUUGUUUAGGCUCUUGGUAAAAGAGAUAUUAUGAUAUGAUAUGUAAUUUAAUUAGCCAUUCAUUCCUUCAGCAAAGAUUUCUGUUUAAGAUACAGCGCUGGACAAAGGUAAGAAGGAGUACGGAGUGGUAGUAGAGCAAGGUGACCCAUAGGAUUAAAAUACACUCCCUGUAGUAAGGUGAAUAAUGGUCCCCCAAAGAUGUCCAUGCCCUAAUCCCUGGAACCUGUGUUAUAUGUCAAAAGGGACUUUGCAGAUAUAAUUAAGGACCUGGAGAUGGGGAGAUUAUCAUGGUGGGUCUGAUUAAUGACAAGGGUCUUUAUAAGAAAUAAGCCAGAGAUCAGAAUGAACAUCAGGAGAUGUGAUGAUAGAACCAAAGGUUGGAGCGAUGCACUUUGAAGAUGGAGGAAGGGGCCACGAGCCAAGGAAUGCAGAUGGCCUUUAGAAGCUAAAAAAGGCAAGGCAAUGGAUUACCCCCUGAAGCCUCUGGAAGGAAUGCAGCACUGUUCACAUUUUGAUUUUAGAUUUCUGACCUCCAGAACUGGAAGAGAAUAAAUUUGUGUUGUUCUAAGCCACUUUGUGGUAAUUUUUUAUAGCGGCCACAGAAAACGAAUACACUCUUGUCCUCAAAGAGAGAAAAUUCCAGGAGAUCCUUUAUCCAUUAUAUUAAUGUGUUUAUUUUUCUGUCUAGGUCAUAUAAAUAUAGCCAACCCAAUUAACUAAUUUGCCAGGCCCUAGCUCCCAAUAUCAUUGUUGUUGUUGUUAGUUGCCAUCAAGUCAGUUCUGACUUAUGGUGACCCCAUAUGUGCAGAGUAAAACUGCUCCAUAGAGUUUGCAAGUCUGUGAUCUUUUGGAAUCAGAUCACCAGGCCUGUCUUCUGAGGCACCUCUGGGUAGGUCUGAACUGCCAAUCUUUCAGCUAGUAGCAAAGUUCUUAACUGUUUGCUACAAUUAGUUCUCCUAAAAAAUAAGAUUCUAAGUUUAGUAAUGAAUCGAAGGAAAAAAUGGACUUGAUGACAUGCUUAGGGAGCCAAGGGAGCUUGCUAUGGUAGGGCCUGGUGUUCUCUGUUGGUUAGAAAGGCUAUGCUAUGCUUUGAUAAGAAACAACCCUCAAACCUCAAAGCAACAGAAGUUUCUUUUUUGCUCUUGCCAAGUCUGCCACAUUACUGGGUGACUCUCCAGGGCAGCCUUCUUCCAUACAAAGGCUCCGUGUCCCACUCCCAUAUCAAUGUGUGCUUCUGUGUUAGCUAAGGUAGGGCAGGAGAAUGCUGGAGGGUCUCAAACCAGUAAUUUAAUGCCUCUGUAUGGAAGUGACACCAUAUCUCAUUGGCCAAAGGAAGUUGCAUGGCUACAUCUAAUUUCAAGGAGAUCCACCUGUUGCCAUCCAGUGGUUCCAACUUAUAGGGUGUAAUACUCCCCUGUCCCAGAGGAGGAAAGUCAGACAUGUUGGUAAGCAGUACAUAUGUCUACUCCAAGACCUCAACUUUGUAGGUUAGAAAAGUAUUUUAAAUAACUUUGGAAUUUACGUAUCCCUGAAACAUAUAGUGGUAACUCCACGUGCAAAUCCUAGGUACAUAUCUUCUUCUUUAGAAAUGUUUGAAAGCCCUGAAUUUUCUCAGUAUUGUUGUAGACCCAGAUUUCAUUUUAAUAAUCAGUGCUGAGGAAAUUAUCAUGAUUAACAUAGCAAACUGAUUUUUAAUACUGUAUUCUUUUAUUUUAAAUAGCUCUAAAAACCACUUGUUGUGCAUAGGGUCGCUAUGAGUCAGAACUGACUUGACCGCACCUAACAACAACAACAGUAAAAACCAUUUCAGGGAACUGGAGAAAAUGAAUAAGAGAAAGCUCAUAAUAAAGAAAGCGAGAACCCAAGUGCUGCUGAAUGAAGUCCUUAGCAAGGUUUGUAAAGAAAUGGAAAAUCAUAUCUAAUUAUUUCAUUGUGCUUAUCUUUCCUUAGUCAGAAAGCCUCCCGUGUGCAGUGUUUUUCUAUAGGUAGCCCAUGGUGAUUCAAUAUCAGUUAAUAUCUACUUGUAGCGAAGUAUUGACAGUAACUUUCUAAAUUCACAGGCUUGACAUUUUGCAGUGUAAUUGGGCAUAGAGAAGGAGCUUUCCAGGUUGCUACUAAAAGCAAUGCAGAAAGAUCUGAAAUGGACUUUAACCCUUUGCAAGCGAGGCCAGGAUUAAAGCUGAUCAUUGCUAUUCCAUAGCAGGUUUCGAGGUUUCGAGAAGAGAAGCCAGGGAACAGAUCAGCCCACUUCUCUGACCCACAUAAGUCUUCCAAAACUCUGAGAAGGAAUUUACUUUCAGCUUUCUACCGAUGAAGCAGGGAGCCUGAAUGUGUGUCCAGUAGGGACUCUCUCUGAAAAUUCUUCUGUUGCUGUCCAUCUUACUUCUCAGCAGGUCUCAGGAAAUUAUCAGGUCCAACGCCCCAUAGGAAGCUGGCUUUAGGAUUAAUUAGGCAGAUCUGGGGGAGCUCCUGUGACAUUGCAGUUUUUAACGACAGUGAUCACAAUUCAUUUUUUAAUACAGGUGGUCCCUGACUUAUGACGGGGUUCUGUUCCGAUGACUCUGUGGUGAGUUGUUGCUGACUUAAGUUGACCACCUCUUUUUUUUUUUUUUUUUUAAGUUUUCGUUAUUAUUACCUUUUAUCAUCAGUGUCUUUAUAAAUCUGGCAGGGUUUUGAACAGUGAACCAUAAAAUUGAACAUCUGUGAAUGAACAUCUGAUAAUGAUAACAUAAGGAAAUUACUCAUGGCAACAUACUACUAACGAUAAGAUGUCCAAAAAAAAAAAAAUGGUCUUAAGUGUGGUUUGUCGUAAAUUGAAUUCUUCGCAAGUCAGGGAAUACUUGUAUAACAAACUGGAUAUGAAUGAAUCUGGAGCUAAAAAGGAAAUUGACAAAGUACUUUGAAUUUAUUUUUAAAAUAUGAAAUUUAUGAAACAAUGUAUAUUAGUGAGAUGCUAUCAUUUCAUUUUAUAGAAUGCUUCUAUAAAAUGUGUUAGCAUCAUCUAAUGUGUUAGCAACAUCUGAAGUUCUUCCCAUAGAUUAUUUUAUUUAAACCUCACAAUAAGUUUUUGGGAUUAGUAUUGUUAUUUCCCAUUUUACAGAUGAGUAAACUGAAAUCCAGAGAAAUGGAGUGACUUAGCCAAGGGUAUACAGCUCAUCUCUCAUCCUCAUAUUUAUCGUCUACAUGGAGCCCAGUAAUAGGCUCUUUUAGAAAUGUUAUCUUGUUUAAGUUUCUAAAUAGUCUUAUGCUAUAGAUAUCACUAUGUUGUAGUGGAAGAGAGGAGUCCCUGGGUAGCUCAAACUCUUAAGCACUCAACUACUGGCUGAAAGGUUGGUGGUUGGAACCCACCAAGAAGUACCUUGGAAGACAGCCCUGGUGAUCAGCUUCCAAAAAAAUCAUAGCCUUGAAAACUCUAUGGAGCAGUUCUACUCUGCAAACAUGCGUACACCAUGAGUCAGAAUCGACUUGAUGGCACCUAACGACAACAGCAGUUGAAGAGAGGUGUCCUGGGUGGUGCAAACAGUUAACUUGCUCAGCUACUAACUGAAAGGUUAGAGGUUCAAGUCUACCCAGAGAUAUCUCAGAAGAAAGACCUAGCAAUCUGCUUCUAAAAAGUCAGCCAUUGAAAAUCCUGUGCAGCAUAGUUCUACUCUGACACACGCGGGGUCACCAUGAGUCUGAGUCAGCAACUGUUUUUUGUUUUGUUUGUAGUUGAAGAGAAAGAUGCUUAAGUUUUGAGACGUUAGGUGACAUGUCCAAGUUUACACAGCUGGUAUGUCUUAAAGCUUGGAUUUAAAUUUGAGUGCUCUGACUUGAGUCUUAUAUUUGACCACACCUCAUCUGCACCAAAUGUUGGUGGAAUCGGAACUCACAAACUCAGGUCUACAUAGGGCUCUGACCAGAGUUCAGAACCUAAUGGUUUGGAGUUAGGUUGUAAGUGCAGGGCUCAAAUGGCUGACUUUUCCUGUGUUCUUCUAGGGUCGUUUUGCUAUAAUUUAAGGCAUGUUGCUCCCAGAAAUAUACCAAAGAAUUGCUUUUGAUUGUUCAUUUCUUUUGUUUUUCCUUCUUACAAGGUAACUAGUGUCCCCAGCAAAUAGUGAGUGGUUAGGAUCCAUGUUCCUAAUAAAAGCAUUCUGUCCUUAAAGUGGCCUCUAACUGUCUUUUGGUGGAAUUACUUAUUCAUUUAGGCAGUUUAUUUUCUUAGGAAGAAGUCAACUGUUUCUACAGGAUUUGCUAGCUAGGACCUUUAAUUUUAAUCAUCUCCUUGAAAACAUUUUUCCUAAUCCACUAUGGGCAAGAUGAUGGAUUUCUUUUUACCAUUUAACUUUGAAUUGCACAGAUUUCCUGGGUUGAGAUAUUAUUUAUGGAUUAAGGAGGUUACUAAUCACUGAAUCAAUACAUAUACUACUCCUUUUUAUUAUCUUGUUCAAAAUCCACUUGGAGAGGAGUCAAGCCUAGAGACCCUUUGAAUUUAAUGGAAGCUACAUGUGGUCUGAGGAGUCAAAUAAGAAACAGGCCACCUCUAACAUGAAACCUGCCAAGUAUUAAGUCUGAAUAGCCAUCAUUAUUAUGCAUUUAAUGUGCAUAGAAAACCUGAUCUGCAACCUUCCAGAGUGGGCCAGAAAUUUGGAAUGUACACAAUUGUUGGCUCCAUCUCAGACCACUCAAUAAGGCAAAGAAAAUAGCAGCCACCGGAGAAUUCAUUUAGAGUUUUCUAGACCCUCAUGCUGUGCAGACCCUGUGAUAAAGGAAAGUCUGCUCUCACUGGACACUGGGACCAUUCAACUCAAACCCUUCUGUACCGUUCCUGCCACUACCUCAUUUGUUGAGGAAGUUGCCUUCUCUUCAUAAUUAAAACAACCAACAGUGUUUGAAAAUGGGAACACCCACUUCUGGCUUGAAAUACAUGGUAAAAAAUACUUUUUUCUCUUCAAUGUAUCUCAUUCACUUUGGAAAAGUGACUUAAUAUGAUUUAUUCUUCGAAGCACUCAUCAACAAAUAUUUUUGGAGUCUUUACUAUGCGCUAGGGUUUGGGCCAGGUGCUGGAGAUUAAGCUGUGAACAAGUAGACUCUCUGUCCUUGUGGGGGUGUCUGGUGGGAGAUUCAGAACAAAAAAUAGCCAAGGAUAACACAGCAUGAUAAAUGUUAUCAAACGGAAAGUACAUGAUGCUCUAGAAAUACCCAGGAGGGGAAUUCAACCAUUAUUUGGGGGCUGGGAAAGGCUUCUUGGAAAAGGCAGAACCUAAAAUGAAAGAAAGUCAGGAGUAAGGGCAAAGCUGAAAGUGGGUCCAGGAGGACAGUGUGAUACGCUGAGGAAACAGCAUGAGCCGAGACUCAAAAAUUAAAGAAAAUAUGGCAUAUUUGGGGUAUUAAAGGUGCUUGGAACCCUGAUGAUGCAGUGGUUAAGAGCUCAGCUGUUAACCAAAAGGUCAGCAGUUCGAAUCCACCAGCCAUUCCUUGGAAAUUCUAUAGGGUAGUUCUACUUGGUCCUAUAGGGUCACUAUGAGUUGGAAUUGACUCGAUGGCAAUGGACUAAAGAUGCUUAGAUGUGCUGGAAAGAAAGUUAGUGUUGUGUAGCAGGAAUGAGGUUGUGCAGGGACUUGUCAGCCAAGUAAAGAAACUUAGCUCGAUAUCUAAGAACAGCUGGGUUUAUUGAAAGAUUUUUAUAUUUUAGAAAGAUCACUGUAAAAGGGUGGUGGUGAUAUGGUCAUUGUUAGAACCUGUCUAACUUCAGGGGGGAUAAUGACCAGGAUUAGCCCCGAGCUGAUUCCUGUGAUGUGGAGGUCAGUCAUACCUGUAGUUUCCAACAUUUUACCAAUUCUGACACCAGCUGUCCAUCCCAUGGCACUCUCUACUUCUCUUCUGGGUUCUAUAAUCCGUUGCAGUGGCCACACAGAACUCACAGACCAUACUUACAGUUAAGUGGUUUAAUUGUAAAGUUAAGGAAGUAACAGGGUACAAAUUCAGACCGGAAUCAAUAGACUACCAGUCAGGAUCAGGAACAGGAAGCAAGCAGGCAAAGUCUCCCUUCUUCAGUACAGGACAGCUCUCUCAGCUGUGCACGUGUCUCUUUCUCUCUGAACAGGUCUCCUCCCUGCUUCCUGAAGACAGGCCUCCUCUCGGCCCCCUCAGUACAGGCUCCUUUUGGCCCUGCCAUCUGUCACACCAACUCUGCCACUGGGCCCCUUCUGGGCCCCUUGCUGUCUUCAGUGUCACAGCCUUUGACCCAUGUUAUAGCUCUUUUAGAAUGUCCCUUGCCUUCUCACUCUAUUUUUUCUCUCUUCUCUCUUCCUGCUGCUUCUUCCUGCUGUUUCUCUUCCUGCUUCUUUCUGUCUGAAAAACCUCUAUGGGGUCAUCUGCAUAUAUACAUAACUCUGUCAAUUUCAAGUCAUGUUCCCUCCCGGCAGUGGCCAGAAACUGACCAAUUUCCUCUUGGUAGUCCACAGACACUUCAUUUUCAUAGUGGGCUACAGACACUUCAUUUGAAUAGUAUAUUGACCAAUCCCUGCAAUAUGCAUACCAAUCACAGGGCAGGCUACAGACCAGGACCGGACUAAAAGUAUCAAACCAAGUCGUGUACAGAUUACCCAGGAGAGGUAACAGAUCCUCUGGGGUAGAACACUAAGGCAAAGGUGACUUCUCAGAGUUUAGGGGGAACAUCUCUCAAGCUGUUUUUUCAAAGAACCAAGGCAAAAGGCUGCAUAAAGGAACUCAUUUCACCACAAUCACUAUGGCUUCAGUGUUGAUAAUGGCCGGGGGGAUUAAAAGCAAAUAUAGGUAGAGAGACUAAUUAGAACAGGACCUCAGGAAUACAGUGAGAGAUCUGGUGGCCUGAAGUACUCUAGAGGUCAUGGAGAUCAAGAGGCAUAGAUUCAGAUACAUGCAAGAGACAGAGUUGACAGCCAUUGGUAAUCGAUUGUUGACCAGGUCAAGAAGAAAGUUUCUGGUUUAGGUAAUUGGGCUGAUGGUGGUGCCAUUUUCAGAAAUCAGGAGCAUAGAAGUAAAAACAAGUUUGAAGCGGGAAGAUGACAAUUCUUGUUUGGGUUAUGCAGGGUUUGAGGUGCUUGUAGGAGAUCAUGAAUAUGCCCAGUAGGCAUUUGGCUAUAUGAGUCUAAUACUCAGAAGAAAGAGCUUGUCUGAAGAUAGAAAGUUGGCAGUCACCAGCAUGUAGACAGUAAUGAAUGAUAUUACCUAGGAUGAUUACUAAGAGAGGAGGACUGGGGCACAAUGUCAACAUGUUCUCCGACAUGCCCCUUCCUGAAUGCACCCGGGUAAUGUACAUCUUUUCAGAAGUGCCUCUGGCUUCUCAAAGCAACAUUCAUCACCAAGAGGAACAAUUAGGCUUUGUCUUUCAUUAGUAACAGAAUUCACAGCUCAGAAAGAAAAAGCCAGAAGUGACUUUUCAACCACCCCUCCAACUCCCCAGGUUGUUCUGAGGAAUCCCUGAACAACAGUAACUGUGGAAUGGCUAAGGGCAGAAACCCACAAAGGAGACUGAGAAGGAAAAGCAGAGGUAGGAAGACAAGCAGAUAGUGCUGAUUCUACAGAAUCUAAGAAAAUCAAAAGGAAACUAAGGCCAGGCCCAUUUAUUAGUGUGUGUAGUAACCACUACUACUACUAUUACUAUAAGGAAUCAGAGUAGGCCAAGGGAAGAUAGGAAUUGGGGUUAAUGGAAAUGAAAAAUAGGCAUUCCGUUUAGUACCUAUUGUGAUGUGUGUGGUUGUUUGGGAUUUAAGGAAGGAAACAGGGAACUUAGGGAAUAUUGUCAAGAGAUAUUGCUUAUGUUCCCUUAGCCAGGCACACAUGGAAUGUUUAGUCACUUGACACAUAUUUAUUUAGAACUUACGUGUCAAGCAUUUUUCUUAGGGCAGUGGAGGAUUAGAACUCAUGUGUCAAGCAUUUUUCUUAGGGCAGUGAAGGAUAUACAAGUGGAAAAAGCCAUCCCUGGCCCCUGAAAGCAUGUAAUCUAGUUGGAGAUAUAACAAAUGUACAUGUAACAGUUCUCAUCAAUAGUAGCAAUAGCAUGUGAUGAGUGCUAAGAGCAUAUAUUGAAUAUUAAGUCUACAGGAGUUGAGGAGGGGAGAUAUUAGUUUUCACCAAGAGUGCAAAACAGACAUAGGGCAUAGGGAAGGAAGGGCUGGGCAUCUAGUUCUGUGAACUGGCUAGAAUAUUGCAGGCUUAGAAGUGUUAAGAGGACUACCUGAAAGGAAGAUAGAAUCUUGGUCUUGUUCUCUGACAUUCCGUUUUCUGAACACACCCGGGUAAUGUGCAUCUUUUCAGAAGUGCCUCUGGCUUCUCAAAGCAACAUUCAUCACCAGGAGGAACAAUUAGCCUUUGUCUUUCAUUAGUAACAGAAUGCACAGCUCAGAAAGGAAAAGCCAGAAGUGACUUUUCAACCACCCCUCUAACCCCCCCAAGAUUGUUCUGAGAAAUCCCCGAAUUUCUUGUAGGAAGAACAUGCAAUAUAUUUAGCAACAAGUUCCUCCUUGCCCUAAAGUAUGUCCGUGACGUAAGCUUUGAAAGCUCAUGGAAAAUACAGGGGGCUUGUGGGUUUUGUUACUUGGCAACUGAGAUCUAAGCUGUUAAAAUAAGAAAUUUGCAUAAUUUUAUAAUUCUGAAAACACACAAGUAAAAUUUUACUGAAGAUCAUUCAAAAGUGGUUGCAGCAGUACAUAGAGAACUGCCAGAAAUUCAAACUGGAUUCAGAAGAGGAUAUGGAACCAGGGAUAUCAUUGCUCAUGUCAGAUGGAUCUUGGCUGAAAGCACAGAAUACCGGAAAGAUGUUUACCUGUGUUUUAUCGACUAUGCAAAGGCAUUCGACUGUGUAGAUCAUAACAGAUUAUGGAAAACAUUGUGAAGAAUGAGAAUUCCAGAACAGUUUAUGCUCAUGAGGAACCUAUACAUAGACCAAGAAGCAGUCAUUCAAAAGGAACAAGGAGAUAGUACAUGGUUUAAAAUCAGGAAAGGUGAGCAUCAGGGUUGUAUCCUUUUACCAUACCUAUUAAAUCUCUAUGCUGAGCAAAUAAUCUGAGAAGAUGGACUAUAUGAAGAAGAAUGGGGCAUCAGGAUUGGAGGAAGACUCACUAACAACCUGCAAUAUGCAGAUGACACAACCUUGCUUGCUGAAAGUGAAGAGGACUUGAAGCAUUUACUUGAUGAAGAUCAAAGAUCACAGCCUUCAGUGUGGAUUACACCUCAGCAUAAAGAAAACAAAAACUCUCACAACUGAACUAAUAAGCAACAUCAUGAUAAACAGAGAAAGAAUUGCAGUUGUCAAGGGUUUCAUUUUGCUUGGAUCCACAAUCAACACCCAUGGAAGCAGCAGUCAAGAAAUCAAAUCUGCUGCAAAAGACCUCUUUAAAGUGUUAAAAAGCAAAGAUGUCACCUUGAGGACUACGGUGCACUUGACCAAGCCAUUGUGUUUUCGAUUGCCUUAUAUGCAUGUGAAAAGUGGACAAUGAAUAAGGAAGACCUAAGAAGAAUCAAUGCCUUUGAAUUAUGGUGUCUGUGAAGAAUACUGAAUAUACCAUGGACUGCCAGAAGAAUGAACAAAUCCAUCUCGGAAGAAGUAGGGCCAGAAUGCUCAUUAGAAGCAAGGAUGGAAAUAUUUCGUCUCACUUACUUUGGACAUGUUAUCAGGAGAGACCAGUCCCUGGAGAAAGACAUCAUGCUUGGUAAAGUAAAGGGUCAGCAAAAAAGAGGAAGGUCCUCAGUGAGAUGGGUUGACACAGUAGCUGCAACAAUGGGUUCACACAUACCAACCACUGUGAGGGUGGUGCAGGACUGGGCGGUGUUUCGUUCUGUUGUAUGUAGGGUUGCUAUGAGUUGGAACAAAACUGCAAUGGAUGAUUUUCUUUUUUCUUUUUCUUUUCUCAUGGGGGUAAGGUAGGGGAAUAAAAGUAUGGUAGUUACAGUAUCCCAUUGUUUGAAAAGUUCAUACUUGUUAGGUUAACCUUACAGCUGUUAUAUCUUUGUCAUUCAAAAUGGACAUAUCAUAGGUUACCGGUGGUAGCAAGUCUAGCCAGAGUUUCCAGGAAUGCCGCAGACAAGCCAGAUACAUAUUCAGAGAAUUAGAAGAAUUUUAUCAGGGAACUAGAAAGCUUGCUUGCAUAUGGCGUUAGUAAAAGAGAACAUCGGAGAGAAAGUGAAAUUGCCCUGAGAUCACAGGAGAGACUGUGGAGACUGCUCCACACAAGAGACAUUCCUUCUCUCUUGCUGCCCAGCCCCAUCUCCCUUGCUGCUUCUCCCUACACCUCUGAGGUACCCCUGAAUCCAUUCCCUAUGCGGGGGAAAAUAUCAACAUGGCGUCCAUAUUUCCUGAAUCAUAUCUUGGGACUAAUUCCUUGCUAAAAGCAAGUGAAUUAUGAGGAAAAUGAACAGAAUAUUUAACAUCUUGGAAAAAGUGGGGUGGAGGAUGUGUCUCUGUAUGAAUCAGACUUGGUUGAAGGACUGUCUUCAAGUGAUCUGAAACCCAAAAGUGUAUAAGGUACUUUGGACACUUAUGGCUUUAAUAGUGUGUCUUUCUCCAUCUCGGUGCCCAUCCCAGUGUUGUUAUAAAAAGCUUGGAAUUAUUUAAUAAGAGAUCCUUUAGUCACAUUUCACGUGGAUGAAUCAACACAAAGGGGGGCUUCUGGAGUAAAAUGUUCUCUUCAAUCCCAGGUACCAGUUAAUGAAAACCUGGUGCUCUGGGAGGAGCUAAUUCUUCAGAGUUUAGAAAAUGGAGGCUCUAAAUAAUGACAUUGGGAUUUUGGUAUUAUCUACUUUACAAGAAAAUGUUGCAUAGGCAGUCCCCAGGUUAUGAACUUCCAACUUGUGGACAACUCUUACUUGCCCUUUAACGUUAUGUAAAUUUGCCUUCACUUUGAAACGAUUGAACCAACCCCUACGCACAACAAACUCUUCAUCACAAUCACCUUCACUUGCUGUAUGUGCAGCUUUUAAAUCACUGAAAAGGCUUCCAGCCUUUUCUUGCACUAAAAUAAGGCUAAAUAAGAACCGCAUGCACCUGUUUUGACUUACCUACAAAUCUGACUUAAAAACUUAAAGACCCAGUUAGGAACCAAUUUCUUUUGUAAUCCGCAGACUGCUUGUAUUCUACUGUUAAACUACCAGUUGCUAUUGAGUUCAUUCCGACUCAUGGUGAUCCCAUGUGUGUCAGAGUAAAACUGCUCCACAGGAUUUUAAAUGGCUGAUUUUUUUGGAAGUAGAUUUUUAGGCCUUUCUUCCAUGGUGUCUCUGAGUGAACCGGAACACCCAACCUUUUGGUUAGUAGCUGAGAGUGUUAGCCUUUUGCACCACCCAGGGACUCCUAUUUUGCCCUUAGUGAGAACAUAAUUGUUGAAGGACAGCCCGAGCAAGGAAAGACCCUCACUGUGUGUCCUGGCAGAUAAUCUGAAGAACUGACACAUAGCCCUUUCCAGAUUCAUGCGUUCAGGGAAACUUACUGAGACAGGCAAGCAGCUGCUCUCCAGUGGCAGCCAGCUGGAGUAUUUUCCGCAACCACCUCAUAAGGGACCCAAGCUUAUAUACCAUUCUAGUUGGGACCAAGGCUCAUUGUUUUUCUCCCACGUCCUUCGGUAGUCAGUGUUCCCAGCGACUGCACAUCCAGGCCCAGAUAUUUUCCUUCUUGUUGCUAAGGCAUUCCUCGGCCUUGGCCACUGGCCCAGGCAUGCCACUCCCGGCCUUGUACCUUAGCCCGAGUCCAUCCCGAAUUCAUCCCCAGCAUGCUUCAGGGAAGAGCAAAGCUGUUUCCAUCAGGGAGGGGAUGCAUAUAGCUGAAUAGCAUUACCCUACAAUAGUAUAAUAGCUAGAAAAGCAUUUCUUUCUACAUUACUUUAUGAUGACCCUAUAGUAAACUUAGGAGGAUGUACUAUUACGAUAAUAAUACAUGGGCUAGAAUAUAAGGUUUAUUGUUUGUUAUUUUCACUGAUAUAUCCCCAACUAUCUAGAUGGGUUUCUGGCAGAUCAGGGACAUUUAACAUAAGGUAUUAAAUAAAUAUUUGUUGAAUAGGUGGCUUAACUGAGUAUACUACGUAUAAACCCCAUUUCUGUCAAGUCGAAUCUGGCUCAUAGUGAGCCUAUAGGACAGAGUAGAACUACCCCAUAGAGUUUCAAUGACUGUAAAUCUUACAGAAGCAGAUAGACAUAUCUUUCUCCAUGGAGCAACUGGUGGGUUCAAACUGCCAACCUUUUGGUUAGCAGCUAAGUGCUUAACUGCUGUACUACCAGGGUUCCUAAUACUGCCCUACGUAUUAAAAAAAAAAAAAAAACAAAAACCCAUUGCCAUCAAGUCAAUUCUGACUCAUAGUGACCCUAUAGGACAGAGUAGAACUGCUCCAUAGGGUUUCCAAGGAGCACCUGGUGGAUUUGAACUGCUGACCUUUUGGUUAACAGCUGUAACUCUUAUGCCACCAGGGUUUACAUACUAUGUAUAGAUAUACUACGUAUAGAUAUGUAUAUACUAUGUACAGAUAGUAUAAAAUUGAGUUAUUUUUCCAAUACUUAUAAGAUUAAAUUCUCACUUAAAAAUAAUCUCACUGGAUUACUUUUCUAGACAAAGGUCUCAAAUUUUGAUGAAAUGUAAAUGAUAAAAUUCUAAAAACCAACACAUCUAUGAAUGUAGGUUAUUUCUCAAGCAUGUUUCACUUUUAAUGUUCCAUGGUUCUUAUAAAGACAUGCAAAAGAAGAAAUAAACUCACUGACCCUACUUGAUUCCUACUUGAUAUUUUAAGAGAAGACUUUGAAAAAUUAUGUAAAAGCAGUAUUAAUUUACCUUUAGUGGUUGUCUAAUGUAUCACCAUAUGUAGGAGAAAUGUUAAUUGUUGACCUCUGAAAAGUUGUAGCUGGUUAUCUGUUGAAACAAUUCAUUAAUAAAGAGAACCUACCAUUUAUUGAACACCUUCUAGGCAUUAUGCUAAUGUUGUCCCAGUGACAUAGAGUUGAGAAGACAAACAAAAAAAUAGCAACUAAUAAUUACAAAUUGUGAAAAAUGACAUGAAAGAGCAGAGUCCAGGGUAAUAGGAAAAAAAAUAGCAGGAUGGAGAUAGAAGGUGAGUUAUUUUAGACAGAGAGGUCAGGGAAGUUCUCAUCUGAAAGAUGAGAAGGAGUCAGAGGGUAAAGAGCAGGGAGUUAGGCAUUUUAGGAGAGGAUACAGCAUGAGCAACUGAAUCACAACUUUAGUGCUUCUUGUAUUUAUGGAUUCAAUGUUAUGACACCUGGGAUUUGCUUUAAAAAUAUUUCAGUGGGAGGGUGGGAAAGGGGAUAUAGAUAAAACAAUAUUGGCCAUAAGAUGAUGGCUGUUGAAGCUAAGUGAUAAGUAUGUAAAGAUUCAUUAUGCUGUACUCUCUUUUUUUGUAUGUUUGUAAUUUUCCAUAAUAACAUGUUUUAAAAAAAACAAGGUAACAACUCUCGGAAGUUCCUGUGUUUGUAGGUGUAGUCAUAGUCUUAUUUAGUAAAUAGUUUUAGAAAGAUCAUCCUGUUUCACUAUUCACCCUCUUAAAAUAUUGGAACUGUUGGUCUAAGGAGUGUAGUGUUUAGAAUAUCUAAGAUGGGAGCUCAGCAAAGUCUACAGUUUUCAGGGUAGAGUAAUCGCUGUUCUAGAAAAGGAGGAUUUUCAUACGAUUGUAUGAAUGAGAGAAAAAAGAAUAUUCAACAAAGUUUGACUGAGUUCAGUUUUUUAAAAAUCAACUUUAUUGAAGUAUAAUUUACAUGCAAUAAAAUUCACAGGUUGAUGACAAUGUGAAACUACACCCUGAUCAAGAUAUAGAAUAUUUUCCCUCCUCUAGAAAGUUUUCUUGUGCCACUUCAUGGUCAGUCCUCUUAACCCAUUCCCCACUCCUAAAUAACCAAUGAUAUGAUUUCCAUUGUUAUAGAUUAAGUUUUGACUGUUCUGGAAUUUCAUAUGAUGUAAUUCUUUGUGUAUUCUUUAUGUAUUCUUUGUGUAAAGUCUUUCCCCUCAGUAUGUCUGUACGAUUCAUUCAGGUAGUAGCAUGUAUCAAUAAUUCACUCCUUUUUUACCACUGAGUAGAUUAUGCCAUUGUAUGAAUAUUCCACAAUUUGCUUAUCCAUUCACCCGUUGAUGGACAUUGACUUGUUUCCUGGUUUAGGCUAUUAUACUAAAGCUAUUAUGAACACUCAUGUACAAGUCUUUUGUGUGCAUACAGGCUUUCAUUUCUCUUGGGUAACAGCAUACCUAGGAAUGGAAUUGCUGAGUCACGUGGUUCCAGAGGUGUGAGUGGGCUGUGUGGCUGGCUGCUUCUCCCUGCGGAAACUGCCUCCGAACGCUAGUACCAGCCCACCACCUCUGCCGCCACCGCCGCCGCUGUCGGAAUGGUGCCUGAGGGCUCCCCACGAUUCAGGCGUUCUACCAGUGUCUGUCAGUUUUUCGUACGGUGGUGGCUUGCACGUUGCUGUGAUACCGGAAGCUAUGCCACUGGUUUUUCAAAUACCAGCAGGGAAUCCCGUGGUGGACAAGAUAGAGCAGAGCUUCCAGAAUAAGACAGACUAGGAAGAAGAACCUGACUGUCUACUUCUGAAAAAACUGGCCAGUGAAAACCUUAUGAAUAGCAGCUGAACAUUGUCUGAUACAGUGCCAGAAGAUGAGCCUCUCAGGUUGGAAGGCACUUAAAACAUGACUGAGGAAGAGCUACCUCCUCAAAGUAGAGUUGACCUUAAUGACGUGGAUGGAGUCCAGCUUUCGGGACCUUCAUUUGCUGAUGCGGCACAACUCAAAAUGAGAAGAAACAGCUGCAAACAUCUGUUAAUAAUUGGAAUGUGGAAAGUAUGAAGUAUGAAUCUAGGAAAAUUGGAAGUCUACAAAAAAGAAAUGGAAUGCAUAAAGAUAGGCAUUAGUGAGCUGAAACGGACUGGUAUUGGCCAUUUUGAAUCAAACAAUCAUAUUGUUUACUAUGCCAGGAAUGACAAAUUGAAGAGGAAUGACAACUUAUCCAUAAUCAAAAAGAACAUUUCAAGAUAUAUCUUGAAGUACAAUGCUGUCAGUGAUAGGAUAAUAUCCAUAUGCCUAUAAGGAAGACCAGUUAAUAUGAAUAUUAUUCAAAUUUACACACCAACCACUAAUGACAAAGAUGAGUAAACUGAAGAUUUUUAACAACUUCUAUAAUCUGAAAUUGAUUGAAUGUACAAUCAAGGUGCAUUGAUAAUUGCUGGUGAUUGGAAUACAAAAGUUGGAAACAAAGGAGGAUCUGUAAUUAGAAAACAUGGCUUUAGUGAUAGAAAUGACACGAGAGAUAGCAUGAUAGAAUUUUGCAAGACCAAUGACUUCUUCAUUGCAGAACCUUAUAUCAACAAUAUAAAUGGAGACUAUACAUGUGGACUUCACCUGAUGGAAAAUGCAGGAAUCAAAUUGACUACAUCUGUGGACAGAGACCAUGGGAAAGCUCAAUAUCAUUAGUCAGAACAAGGCCAGCCCCAGCCUACAUCUUAUUGCAACCUCAUGAGACGUCCCAAGCAAAAACUGCCCAGCCAAGUCCUUCCUACAUUCAUAAUCUUCAAAAUACUGCACAUAAUAAAGUGGUUUUAAGGCAUCCAGUUUUGUGGUAAUUUAUUAUGCAAGAAAUCAGGAAAUUUGUAUGAAAUCCAUCUUGUCCGUCUAUCCGUCCGUCCGUCCAUCCAUCUAUUUCUGGUAUAAUUUGUAGGUUCUAAGGUCUAUACCAUUUAGGAUCACAUACAGUCUUCAAAACCAUUUAGUACACCAAUUUUUGCCUAAUUUUAUUUUGUCUUCUAGGUCUUACAUACGUUUAAUCUAAAAACAACCACUCUGAUUUAAUUGUUUUGUUAAACUGAGUAUUCACAGUUUAAGUACACUAAGAAGGACAGCUGCUGCCAGGAAGGAAGGAAAAAUGUUUAAAUGGGCCUGAGACUUAGGACCAGGUCUUCUGGCUCCAGCCACCUGUUUCAACUGAGCUAAAAUAGCCUGUGUGCAGAGAUUUUUGGAAGCCGUCAUUAGGAAAGAAAAUAAACUAUACUCAUUUUGAAAACUUGAUUUUAUGGAGAGAGAAAAAAUCCUAAGGUCCAAUUUAGAGCAUAGUUAAGAAAGCAAUUUGCAAGUGAUUUAGGAUUUCUUAGUGGAGAAUUUUAUAUCCAAACAUUUGGCAUUGGCUAUUGGAAGAAUAAGGAGCCCUGGUAGUGCAGUGGUUAAAGUGCUCAGCUGGCAACCAAAAGGUUGGUGUUUCAAACCCACCAGCCACUCUGUGGGAGAAAGAUGUGGCAGUCUGCUUCCAUAAAGAUUUAUAACCUUGGAAACUUUAUGGGGCAGUUCUACUCUGUCCUAUAGGGUCACCCAGAGUCAGAAUCAACUCGACAGCAGUGGGUUUCAUUUGAUUUAUUGCAAGAAUAUGAAACUGUAUUGAGGAAGAAGCUUGGUGAGGGUUGAUUUCAUGAAGCUGUGUUGUUGAAAGAAUGUAGUCUGUGUAAGUCAAUAAGCAUAGGGAUGGCAUAUUAAUCUGCUUUUCGGGGGUGUGUCCUCUUCCAAGCAAGGCAUGGGAUAUAGGGCUGCAUAUAAAACUGGAUAAAUUUGUAUGAAAAUGUUGCUAUAACCAACUUAUUGUUACUACAGUACACUAUGAAUUUAGACAUUAUUUGUCCCUUUUUUCUUUUAUUAUAAUUAAACUGAAUUAAAAAUGGAGAAGUCUGGGAAAGGAGGAUGAGUGUCUGUAUUAAUAAGAGAGAUACUUUCUCAUUUAUCUGAGAAAGGGAAGGAAAUCAAGUAUGAGAUGGCAUUGCCAAUUUAAUUUUUCAUUAAAACACCUUGUAAGUGCUUUAAGGACAAGGCAGGCACUUUCUGUUACUAGGUGGUGUUGCUUCAAUUGCUUUGCCUUCCAUUUUGAAUUUGAAUUCUUUAAGUUAUAUAACUGGUUUAUUGAAUGGGCUAGACCUGAUAGUGUACAAAUUUGGAAAAACUAUUUUCCCCCUUAAUUUUCCUUCCCAGGACCCAGAGAUUCCACUGCUUUUGUGGUUACUUUUAGGUAUUAGAAAAGUUUUUUGUUUUUUUUUUGUUCUAAACUAUGAAAAAGCUUAAUGGCAAAAAAGAAUUUAAGUUACCAUUCAAUUCAAAGACAUACACAUUCUCCCUAGCUAAGGCCUGAUUCAGGCAUUGGCUCUGCUCUUCCAGGCAUGAGAGGGAAAAGAGGGAAGACCUGUCUACCUGGCCCUUGUGCUCUACUCCAGCUGUCACGACCCUCUUUAGAGCAGAUGACCAAUGCUUGCUCUUUUGUCAGGUGUGUUGGUAGGUUUUUGGAGAGACCCCUCUGUAAUGUCCACACUGUAAUUCUCUUAUACAUGUGAGACUUUCCCCUGUUCACUUCUUCUAAACCUUCCUCCUCUUCUGCCACCCAGUGGGCAACUCUCUUGAUUGGGAUCCUUUCAAGAUGGCCAGAACCUGUCAACCUUCUGUAGCUUCCAGUUAGUGUAAAGGAAAACUCUAGAAGUCAAAGUUACCCCACCACUGCUGUCUAUCCUCAUCCUCUGUUAUAAUUUCCUCCCGCCAGCCUCCCAUCUUCAGACUAUCCUAAAGAGAGGCAGCCAUCAAUCUUUAUCUUCCAUGUAUAGCACCCAGAUCUCAGAGACACAUGGUAACAUGGUUCUCCCAAGAACUUUCCCAAGGGACAGGCACCUGAGAUUCUGUAGCUCAGCAAAUGUCUAGCUGGAGGCUGGGAUGCCAGUUUCCUCUUCUGGAAUAUCACUCCAAUCUGUAUGAGAGCUUCCUUCAGGGCCCUAGUCUCUUGGCUUAAGGUAUGUAUGGGUGUAAGAGAGGAAGUGUCCCAUAAGAAGAAGAGAGAAAGCAUCAAGGCGCUCUCCAUUUCUACUAACUUCAAGAAAAAUCUCUACUGCAUCUUCAGCUCCUGAGUGAUGGACCCAGUAGUUGGAGAACCAGUCUGGGCACCUCUUAGUAAGUCCUGUGGGUAUGUGUCCAGCAUAUCUUUUUAGAAUGGAGAGGAGGGUAAUAGUAAACCUUUGCCUUUAGAUUUGAGGUUUUAGUCAAACUUCUGAGAUGAUAGGAAAAUCUUCACUCCAUAUCUUGGUCCAUUUAGACUUGGGCAUAUAUAAGCAAUGGAUAAUGAAUAAUGCAAUUGAAGAUCUGUCCUCCGACUUUUGCUUUGAAAUGAUUUUUAUAUAAAUCCAGCGUAUAAUAAUCUCUACUCUACUCUUUUCAAUAUGGAUCCCUUAUUAUUUGAAUUCUGUGAGAUUCUCCUUUCAACUUAUCAUUGCAAGAAUAGGACCCCUUCUUUCCUCUUUCCUUGCCUUACUCCGUUUACUCUUGAUUUUCUUCUUUCCUUCCUUCUUCCUUCCCUCCCUCCCUUCCUUCUUUCUUCUCCCUUCUCCCCGAUCUGUGUCCCAUCUCUGCUUUCUCUAUUCUCUCAUUACCUGACACUUCCAGUAGUAACUGAGGAACUUCACAAUAAGAUAUAGAGUAAAUUAUAAGUGAGAAAAGAGAACUCAAACUAGAAAAGGGACUUAACAUAAAACCAGAAACAAAACUAAUAUAAAAACACAUUCAUAAAAGCCUACGCAGUUGCUACAAAAGAAUUAUGAAUUUGGCACUAAUUGGCACCCUAGCAACCAAAAGGAAAGAGAAAGCUAGUUGAAGACUUAUACAACUUACAGAGUCCAUAACAUAAAAACAGACUAAUUGGACAGGAAAAGCUUAACUAUUGCUUGUAAUAAGGACAGACAGGAAUUUCUCCUGAGGGUGUAAAGUUAUCAAAAAAAAAAAAAAAAA